UACGAAGGGUGCAAGCGUUACUCGGAAUUACUGGGCGUAAAGCGUGCGUAGGUGGUUCGUUAAGUCUGAUGUGAAAGCCCUGGGCUCAACCUGGGAAUGGCAUUGGAAACUGGCGACCUAGAGUGCGGUAGAGGGUAGUGGAAUUCCCGGUGUAGCAGUGAAAUGCAUAGAGAUCGGGAGGAACAUCUGUGGCGAAGGCGACUACCUGGACCAGCACUGACACUGAGGCACGAAAGCGUGGGGAGCAAACAGG
rnacentral:rRNA from 1 species